CCUACGGGCGGCAGCAGUGAGGAAUAUUGGUCAAUGGACGAGAGUCUGAACCAGCCAAGUAGCGUGAAGGAUGACUGCCCGAUGGGUUGUAAACUUCUUUUAUAUGGGAAUAAAAUGUUCCACGUGUGGGAUUUUGUAUGUACCAUAUGAAUAAGGAUCGGCUAACUCCGUGCCAGCAGCCGCGGUAAUACGGAGGAUCCGAGCGUUAUCCGGAUUUAUUGGGUUUAAAGGGAGCGUAGGUGGAUUGUUAAGUCAGUUGUGAAAGUUUGCGGCUCAACCGUAAAAUUGCAGUUGAAACUGGCAGUCUUGAGUACAGUAGAGGUGGGCGGAAUUCGUGGUGUAGCGGUGAAAUGCUUAGAUAUCACGAAGAACUCCGAUUGCGAAGGCAGUUCACUGGACUGCAACUGACACUGAGGCUCGAAAGUGUGGGUAUCAAACAGGAUUAGAUACCCCAGUAGUC
rnacentral:rRNA from 1 species